rnacentral:rRNA from 1 species
UUAAAGGGAGCGUAGGCCGGAAAUUAAGCGUGUUGUGAAAUGUAGAUGCUCAACAUCUGCACUGCAGCGCGAACUGGUUUCCUUGAGUACGCACAAAGUGGGCGGAAUUCGUGGUGUAGCGGUGAAAUGCUUAGAUAUCACGAAGAACUCCGAUUGCGAAGGCAGCUCACUGGAGCGCAACUGACGCUGAAGCUCGAAAGUGCGGGUAUCGAACAGGAUUAGAUACCCUGGUAGUCCGCACGGUAAACGAUGGAUGCCCGCUGUUGGUCUGAAUAGGUCAGCGGCCAAGCGAAAGCAUUAAGCAUCCCACCUGGGGAGUACGCCGGCAACGGUGAAACUCAAAGGAAUUGACGGGGGCCCGCACAAGCGGAGGAACAUGUGGUUUAAUUCGAUGAUACGCGAGGAACCUUACCCGGGCUUGAAUUGCAGAGGAAGGAUUUGGAGACAAUGACGCCCUUCGGGGUCUCUGUGAAGGUGCUGCAUGGUUGUCGUCAGCUCGUGCCGUGAGGUGUCGGCUUAAGUGCCAUAACGAGCGCAACCCCUCUCCGUAGUUGCCAUCAGGUUAAGCUGGGCACUCUGCGGACACUGCCACCGCAAGGUGUGAGGAAGGUGGGGAUGACGUCAAAUCAGCACGGCCCUUACGUCCGGGGCUACACACGUGUUACAAUGGGUGGUACAGAGAGCGGGCCGUCCGCAAGGUCGGUCAAAUCCUAAAAGCCAUCCCCAGUUCGGAUUGGGGUCUGCAACCCGACCCCAUGAAGCUGGAUUCGCU